UACGUAGGGGGCUAGCGUUGUCCGGAUUUAUUGGGCGUAAAGAGCUCGUAGGCGGCCUGUUGCGUCCGCUGUGAAAGCCCGGGGCUUAACCCCGGGUCGGCAGUGGAUACGGUCAGGCUAGAGGUAGGCAGGGGAGAAUGGAAUUCCCGGUGUAGCGGUGAAAUGCGCAGAUAUCGGGAGGAACGCCGGUGGCGAAGGCGGUUCUCUGGGCCUUACCUGACGCUGAGGAGCGAAAGCCAGGGGAGCAAACGGG
rnacentral:rRNA from 1 species